GGUGGCGAUGGCGCAGCUUCUGCAGGUGGUGUUGGAUCGGCUGCAGCGGGCUCAGGCCAGGGCGCGGGAGUGGCUGGAGACUCCGGCCAGGGCACUGCUGGGUCGGCCUCGGCAGCAGCUUCAGGCCAGGGCACGGCUCGGUUGGCACUCUAAAAGUGAUGAACCCUGGAAAGUGUGCCUAUACUUGGUUGUAAUCUCUCACGUGGCCAUGUCAUUUUUAGUCCUGCCUGCUGUUCUGUGUAGAUGGAGAACUCCAAAUUCCCAAACGCCAAAAUAUUCUAAUGCUGGAGUUUGAAAUAUGGACAACAGAUGUUCUUGGUGCUGCUCAUGUUAUGUUCCGUGACUUGCACUCAUGUAUGUGAUUCUAAAGGUCUCAUUCUAAAGUCACUUUUGUGCAACUCAUGGCAUGUAUGUAUGGACUUGGAGUAUAUAUGUGAACCUGUAAAUGAUGAGAGUCACUUUUGUGUUG